rnacentral:rRNA from 1 species
CGGAGGGUGCGAGCGUUGUCCGGAAUCACUGGGCGUAAAGGGCGCGUAGGCGGCCUGGUAAGUAGGGGGUGAAAUCCUGCGGCUUAACCGCAGGGCUGCCUUCUAAACUGUCAGGCUUGAGCACAGUAGAGGCAGGUGGAAUUCCCGGUGUAGCGGUGGAAUGCGUAGAGAUCGGGAAGAACAUCAGUGGCGAAGGCGGCCUGCUGGGCUGUUGCUGACGCUGAGGCGCGACAGCGUGGGGAGCAAACAGGAUUAGAUACCCUGGUAGUCCACGCCGUAAACGAUGGGCACUAGGCGUCGGGGGGAGCGACCCUCCCGGUGCCGUCGCUAACGCAGUAAGUGCCCCGCCUGGGGAGUACGGCCGCAAGGCUG